rnacentral:rRNA from 1 species
UACGUAGGGGGCAAGCGUUGUUCGGAAUCACUGGGCGUAAAGGGCGUGUAGGCGGUCCGCUAAGUCUGAUGUGAAAGCCCGGGGCUCACCCCCGGAAGGGCAUUGGAAACUGGCGGACUCGAGUCUCGGAGAGGAAGGUGGAAUUCCUGGUGUAGCGGUGAAAUGCGUAGAUAUCAGGAGGAAUACCGGUGGCGAAGGCGGCAUCCUGGACCGACACUGACGCUGAGGCGCGAAGGCUAGGGUAGCAAACGGG